AGAGUUUCUAUUUCUUCCUGGCUUAAUCUAGGAGGGUUGCUUCUUUCCGUAAACAGACAACUCACAGAGUGGAAGAAAAUCUUCAAAAUCUGUACUUUCAACAAAGGACUAACAUCCAGAAUCUACAAGUAACUCAAACACAUUAGCAAGAAAAAAACAAACAAUCUCAUCAAAAAGCAGGUUAAGGGCAUGAAUAGACAAGUUUCAAAAGAAGAUAUACAAAUGGCCAACAAUCAUGAAAUAAAUGCUCAGCAUCACUAAUGAUCAGGGAAAUGCAAACCAAAACCACAAUGCAAUACCACUUUACUUUUGCAAGAAUUGCUAUAAUCAAAAAAUUAAAAAAAAAUAGAUGUUGGCAUGGAUAUGGUGAAAGGGGAACACUUUUACACUGCUGGUGAGAAUGUAGCUAGUCCAACCAGUGUGGAAAGGAGGGUGGAGAUUCUUUAAAGAGCUAAAAGUAGAACUACCAUUUGAUCCAGCAAUCCCACUACUGGCUAUCUACUCAGAGGAAUAGAAGUCAUUA
rnacentral:lncRNA from 1 species